CCGUAACGAUGCCACUAGCGAUCCGAGGGCGUUAAUUUAUGACUCCUCGGGCAGCUUCCGGGAAACCAAAGUUCUUGGGUUCCGGGGGAAGUAUGGUUGCAAAGCUGAAACUUAAAGGAAUUGACGGAAGGGCACCACCAGGAGUGGAGCCUGCGGCUUAAUUUGACUCAACACGGGAAAACUCACCUGGCCCGGACACCGUGAGGAUUGACAGAUUGAGAGCUCUUUCUUGAUUCGGUGGUUGGUGGUGCAUGGCCGUUCUUAGUUGGUGGAGUGAUUUGUCUGGUUUAUUCCGAUAACGAGCGAGACUCUAGCCUACUAAAUAGUUACUGGAUAAUUGCGUCCAGAAGACUUCUUAGAGGGACAAGCGGUGUUCAGCCGCACGAAGCUGAGCAAUAACAGGUCUGUGAUGCCCUUAGAUGUCCAGGGCUGCACGCGCGCUACACUGGAGGAAUCAGCGUGCUGUAACCAUUGCCGAAAGGCAUUGGUAACCCCUUGAAAAUCCUCCGUGAUCGGGAUCGGGAAUUGCAAUUAUUUCCCUUGAACGAGGAAUUCCUAGUAAGUGUGAGUCAUCAGCUCACGUUGAUUACGUCCCUGCCCUUUGUACACACCGCCCGUCGCUGCCCGGGACUGAGCCGUUUCGAGAAAUGCGGGGACUGCUGUUUCGAUACCUUUCGGGGUGGAGAUUCUUUGGUGGAAACCGCCUUUAUCGCAGUGGCUUGAGCCGG
rnacentral:rRNA from 1 species